GACGAACGCUGGCGGCGUGCUUAACACAUGCCAGUCGAACGGAAAGGCCCUGCUUUUGUGGGGUGCUCGAGUGGCGAACGGGUGAGUAACACGUGAGUAACCUGCCCUUGACUUUGGGAUAACUUCAGGAAACUGGGGCUAAUACCGGAUAGGAGCUCCUGCUGCAUGGUGGGGGUUGGAAAGUUUCGGCGGUUGGGGAUGGACUCGCGGCUUAUCAGCUUGUUGGUGGGGUAGUGGCUUACCAAGGCUUUGACGGGUAGCCGGCCUGAGAGGGUGACCGGCUACAUUGGGACUGAGAUACGGCCCAGACCCCUACGGGAGGCAGCAGUGGGGAAUAUUGCACAAUGGGCGGAAGCCUGAUGCAGCAACGCCGCGUGCGGGAUGACGGCCUUCGGGUUGUAAACCGCUUUCGCCUGUGACGAAGCGUGAGUGACGGUAAUGGGUAAAGAAGCACCGGCUAACUACGUG
rnacentral:rRNA from 1 species